rnacentral:rRNA from 1 species
CGGAAGGUCUGGGCAAUCUUUUUAAACUCUGUCGUGCUGGGGAUAGAGCAUUGCAAUUAUUGCUCUUCAACGAGGAAUUCCUAGUAAGCGCAUGUCAUCAGCAUGCGUUGAUUACGUCCCUGCCCU